GUAAAGAGCUCGUAGUGGUUUGUCGCGUUGUUCGUGAAAUCUCACGGCUUAACUGUGAGCGUGCGGGCGAUACGGGCAGACUUGAGUACUGCAGGGGAGACUGGAAUUCCUGGUGUAGCGGUGGAAUGCGCAGAUAUCAGGAGGAACACCGGUGGCGAAGGCGGGUCUCUGGGCAGUAACUGACGCUGAGGAGCGAAAGCGUGGGGAGCGAACAGGAUUAGAUACCCUGGUAGUCCACGCCGUAAACGGUGGGUACUAGGUGUGGGUUUCCUUCCUCGGGAUCCGUGCCGUAGCUAACGCAUUAAGUACCCCGCCUGGGGAGUACGGCCGCAAGGCUAAAACUCAAAGAAAUUGACGGGGGCCCGCACAAGCGGCGGAGCAUGUGUAUUAAUUCGAUGCAACGCGAAGAACCUUACCUGGGUUUGACAUGCACAGGACGCCGGCAGAGAUGUCGGUUCCCUUGUGGCCUGUGUGCAGGUGGUGCAUGGCUGUCGUCAGCUCGUGUCGUGAGAUGUUGGGUUAAGUCCCGCAACGAGCGCAACCCUUGUCUCAUGUUGCCAGCGGGUAAUGCCGGGGACUCGUGAGAGACUGCCGGGGUCAACUCGGAGGAAGGUGGGAUGACGUCAAGUCAUCAUGCCCCUUAUGUCCAGGGCUUCACACAUGCUACAAUGGCCGGUACAAAGGGCUGCGAUGCCGCGAGGUUAAGCGAAUCCUUUUAAAGCCGGUCUCAGUUCGGAUCGGGGUCUGCAACUCGACCCCGUGAAGUCGGAGUCGCUAGUAAUCGCAGAU
rnacentral:rRNA from 1 species